AAGGAAACCAUACAGGAAAUAUACAAGUAGAAGAAUCAUCUGAGAAACGUCUUCACUUGAAGCCUGCCAUUGAAAGGAAACAUCCCACUUG